GGUGAAUUAGGCUCAUGAAUUGGCACUCCAAGCAAGCCCUAUACUAGCUGUAACUGGCAUAAUGCUUUACAUAGGGUCAUUUUCGGCUGGAAUGGGAGCAGUUCCUUGGAUUGUAAUGUCUGAGAUUUUCCCUAUAAACAUCAAAGGACAAGCUGGAAGUUUAGCAACAUUAAUGAAUUGGUUUGGUGCAUGGUUGUGUUCCUACAGUUUCAACUUUCUGAUGGCCUGGAGUUCCUAUGGUAAGUAGAGCAACAAAUUUUCUUUCUUUUUCCCACCAAAAAGGAUAUUAGUUGAAAAAAUUCUGUGUAGGAUAUAUAAAAAAC